rnacentral:lncRNA from 1 species
GUUGGCUUCUUUUUAUGAAUUAUCUUCUUUUCUCCCUUUCACGGAUUUGCCGAAUUAGAGCUCUUUAUAAAGUUUUAAAACUUUCAUAGGCGCUCUGUUGAUGUUUAAAUAUCAGUCGCCUUUAAAAAGGUCGGACUUGUUGUUCGAAUAUCAGUAGCUUUUAAGAAGGUCGUACUAAUCAGUCGCCUUUAAAAAGGUCGGACCUGUUGCUUGGAAUCUUAGUAGC